rnacentral:rRNA from 1 species
AUUGAACGCUGGCGGCAUGCCUUACACAUGCAAGUCGAACGGUAACGCGGGGCAACCUGGCGACGAGUGGCGAACGGGUGAGUAAUGCAUCGGAACGUGCCCAGUAGUGGGGGAUAGCCCGGCGAAAGCCGGAUUAAUACCGCAUACGACCUAAGGGUGAAAGCGGGGGAUCGCAAGACCUCGCGCUAUUGGAGCGGCCGAUGUCAGAUUAGGUAGUUGGUGGGGUAAAGGCCUACCAAGCCUACGAUCUGUAGCUGGUCUGAGAGGACGACCAGCCACACUGGGACUGAGACACGGCCCAGACACCUACGGGUGGCAG